rnacentral:lncRNA from 1 species
CCUGAGACAUGAAACAACACAGAAGAAUCUCCAGAAACAUGACGCUAAGGGAAAGACGCCUUACACAAGGACAUGUACCCAAUGAUCCAUUAGUAUGAACUCUUAGAACAGGCGGAAGCAUAGUGGAGAAAUCAGCACAGGUGGCAUGGUAGCAGUGGACAUAGAAUGGAAAGGGGCAUAAGAGAAUUUUCUGGGGUGAGGGACGUGUUCUAUUUGUCUUGAUGGCAUCUUCGGUUACACUACUGUAUUUGUUAAAACUCAGCAAAAGGAGGCUGGGCAUGGUGGCUCACGCCUGUAAUCCCAGUCCUUUCAGGAGGGUGAGGCAGGAGGAUCGCUUGAGGCCAAGAAUUUGAGGUUACAGUGAGCCAUGAUCACGCACUGCACUCCAGCCUGGGCCAUAGAGCAAGUACUGCCUUUAAAACAAAUAACCUCAGCCAAUGUAUAAUUAAGUUUGUGCACUUCAUUACAAACUUAACAUUAAAAAACUACAAAAAUCAUAUGCUAGUGGUAUGCACGCUGUUUUGGCGGUGAUGGAUACUGACAUUUGCAAUUUAAUACUGUAACUAACAUCGUUUUACUACAACAGCGUAAUAAUAUAACGAGCACCUGCAAGCCCCCCUCCAACAGCAAAACCAGGUAUUUCCAGUGACUUAGAUCUACUCGUGUGCUUAUCCUGUCCCAGUCCCCAGAAUGUGCAGCACGUUCUUGCCUUACGAGGAUUCCCCCCAUGCGUAUAUACCUAAGUCAUAUGUUUUAUUUAUUUAUUUUGAGACGGAGUCUCGCUCUGUCUCCCAGGCUGGAGUGUAGUGGUGCAACCGCGGUUCACUGCAACCUCCGCCUCCCAGGUUCAAGCGGUUUUCCUGCCUCAGCCUCCCGAGUAGCUGGGAUUACAGGCGCCCAUCACGACGCCCGGCCUAAGUCAUCCGUUUUACAGCUUCAUGUUGAUCUGCCUGACGAGAUGGGCUGAUGCAGGGACAGGCGAGGCCGUGAGCGCGCACACAGUCGCUUUCACCGCAGAAUCCAGGCGGUGCUCAUCGCAAAAUCAUUCCGACCUUGCCAGAUGUUUGACGUUCUUCAUUAAACAAAAACCCCUGAGCAGAACGCCAGGGGCCUGCGCGAAGGGAUGCGGCCCUAAGACUUGCAGGAAGCGCGGGUUCGACCC